CAGGGGGGCAAUUAUUAGCAAGCUCUUUGAAUGGGAAACUAGUGCUAUGAAGAAAAACGGAAAAUUAUUAGCAUGUAUCUCUGGGCAGAAUUCUGAGCAUCACAACCUGCGAUACAUGAGCAAAACAAUUUCAGAGAAGAUGUGUAGAAGAAAAUUUCUGAUCAUGUUUGAUGAUGUUUGGAGCAAGGACCGGCAUGGCUGGGAGCAAUUUCAGCAAUAUUUUAUCGCCACUGCACCUGGAAGCAAAAUUCUACUAACUACUCGUGAUAGAGAAGUCGCGGAAAUGGUAAAAUCUAAUAAUGUAGUCAAUUUGGAAUUCUUAUCAGAUGGUGACAGCUGGAAGUUGUUUCUACAAGAGUUCUGGAGGGGCUGAGGAAGAGGAAAGUUUGUACUCUGAAUUUGUUGAAGUUGGAAAAGAGAGUGAAGAAAUGUGCUGUGGUGCCCUAAGCGAUUAUUUCUCUGGGCAGUUUCCUCUAUAAAAAGAAAGACAUGAAUGAAUGGUGGGCUUUGAGAGAUAGUAUUUUGCUGAAUGAGGUGGAUACUCGAAGCAAGAUUUUGGAAUCUUUGAGGGCGAGCUAUUUUCAUCUGUCAGAUGAUCUUAAGGAGUGUAUUUUGCUUUGCAGCUUCAUGGAACAGGGUCAUGAUGUGGCCCAUACAGCCCUGCAUGCUGCAUCAAGUCUACAGAACAAAUAUGUUCCUUUCUUUACAUGGUAAACAACCUACACGUGCUUCCUUAACUGAUUUAUAUUUUUGUUAUGGUUAUGCUAUACAAAGCAUGCACUCCUGUAGUGUCAUCUCCUAAUUGAGCAAACUUCAUUGUAAACUGUAAAGUUGUGAUCCUGCCGAAACGAAUGGACAAUCCUGAUGACAAGGGUCUGGAAAGUUCGAUUGAGAUGACUUGCAAGUAUCAUGUAAAUAAACAGAAGACAUUUGUCCAUA